rnacentral:rRNA from 2 species
ACGGAAGGCAGCAGUGAGGAAUAUUGGUCAAUGGACGGAAGUCUGAACCAGCCAAGUCGCGUGAAGGAUGAAGGUUCUAUGGAUUGUAAACUUCUUUUGUCUGAGGGUAAAGUGUGGUACGUGUACCAUAUUGCAAGUAUCAGACGAAUAAGCAUCGGCUAACUCCGUGCCAGCAGCCGCGGUAAUACGGAGGAUGCGAGCGUUAUCCGGAUUUAUUGGGUUUAAAGGGUGCGUAGGCGGAAUGUUAAGUCAGUGGUAAAAGCGUGUGGCUCAACCAUACCAAGCCAUUGAUACUGGCGUUCUUGAGUGUAAACGAGGUAGGCGGAAUAUGACAUGUAGCGGUGAAAUGCUUAGAUAUGUCAUAGAACCCCGAUUGCGAAGGCAGCUUACCAGCAUACAACUGACGCUGAGGCACGAAAGCGUGGGUAUCAAACAGGAUUAGAUACCCUGGUA